GCGCGUUGUUAGCGGUUACAAAGCGAAACUGCGAAUGGCUCAUUAUAUAAGUUAUCGUUUAUUUGAUAGUMCCUUACUACAUGGAUAACCGUGGUAAUUCUAGAGCUAAUACAUGCUGAAAAUCCCGACUUCGGAAGGGAUGUAUUUAUUAGAUACAGAACCAAUGCCCUUCGGGGCUCCCUUGGUGAUUCAUGAUAACUUCUCGAAUCGCACGGCCCCGCGCCGGCGAUGGUUCAUUCAAAUUUCUUCCCUAUCAACUUUCGAUGCUACGGUAGUGUCCUAGCAUGGUUGCAACGGGUGACGGAGGGUUAGGGCUCGACCCCGGAGAAGGAGCCUGAGAAACGGCUACUACAUCCAAGGAAGGCAGCAGGCGCGCAAAUUACCCAAUCCCGACUCGGGGAGGUAGUGACGAUAAAUACCGAUACAGGGCUCUUUAGGGUCUUGUAAUUGGAAUGAGUACAAUUCAAAUCCCUUAACGAGGAACAAUUGGAGGGCAAGUCUGGUGCCAGCAGCCGCGGUAAUUCCAGCUCCAAUAGCGUAUAUUAAAGUUGUUGUGGUUAAAAAGCUCGUAGUAGAAGCUCGGGCUCCGGCCGACCGGUCCGCCUCACCGCGUGCACUGGUUCGGCCGGGCCUUCACCUUCUGCGGAACCGCAUCUGCUUCACUGCGGGUGUCGGGGAAACAGGACGUUUACUUUGAAAAAAUUAGAGUGCUCCAGGCAGGCCUAUGCUCGAAUAGAUUAGCAUGGAAUAAUGGAAUAGGACGUGUGGUCUUAUUUUGUUGGUUUCUAGGACCGCCGUAAUGAUUAAUAGGGACAGUCGGGGGCAUCAGUAUUCAAUCGUCAGAGGUGAAAUUCUUGGAUCGAUUGAAGACUAACUACUGCGAAAGCAUUUGCCAAGGAUGUUUUCAUUUAUCAGGAACGAAAGUUAGGGGAUCGAAGACGAUCAAUACCGUCGUAGUCUUAACCAUAAACUAUGCCGACUAGGGAUCGGACGGUGUUAUUUCUUGACCCGUUCGGCACCUUACGAGAAAUCAAAGUGCUGGGUCAGGGGAGAG
rnacentral:rRNA from 1 species